GAAUUCGCGGAAGGCGCUGCGGCCAGCUGGGCUGUGCAUCAGCUUGUCGAAGGAUUGCGCCCAGCUCUGCACUUCCUCAGGGCUCGGUGGGGCGCUGUGCGUGGCACCAGGCUGAAGAAAACUUGGUCCCUACUCUCCUCCCAGCUGCCAGAUGCUGCCUUGGCCCCCAGCCCAAUACUCAAGUCUGCCCACUCUUGGCCUCCCACCUCUCCCUGGCCACUGCCCUGAGCGCCUCAUUGGUGACCUCACUCCCUGGGGUUCCCCCAUAUCACUGUCCACUAAACAGUCACAUGGA